rnacentral:tRNA from 1 species
GCUGAUGUAGCUCAGUGGUAGAGCAGUGCACUCGUAAUGCACAGGUCGUGGGUUCAAGUCCCACCAUCAGCUCCA